UCCGUGACAGCCGUCUUGUCUCCGCCGCAAAUCUCUCAAUAGAAGCGACCACCGGCUCCCCCACGAAGCUAGCAGGCGGACCGCGUGGCGGUGCGGCGGAGGUGUGCCGACGGCAAGGUCCAGCAACCCCCUCCUCUUUGGGGCCUCGAUUUUUUUGGGCGGAGAGCUGCGGCGGGUCGGUACCGCGCGGGGAUGGAGGAGCCCGGGGUCGCCGUACUUUUCCCACCGUUUUGCCACCGGCUCCAGCUCAGAUCAGAGAGAUCAGAGGAGAUUCGGCCGCCACGGCAGUUGGAAGGAACCGAGGCGGCGACACACGUCGCGCCACAACAUCUGGAGCGAUUACACAGGAAGAAGGACUGGCCGCGUCGAGUGGGGAUGGUGGCCGCCGCGUCGGGUUUGCCGGCAGCUGAAGCGGCAGGACGCUGCAUCUACACUGGGCCACACACUGUUUCAUCAAUGUGGGGGAGGAGCAGGGUUCCGUGUGAGCGCGUGUAGCAGAGAUGGAUCCUAAUGGCGUUGUUGAUGCAAAGAGGUAAGGAGGAGCUGCAAGUGUUGGCGUCAUGUCGAGUUGUGCAGGAUCAGUGUGGAUACUGCUAUUGAGUUUUGUUAAUCAUUGCUUUCACGCGCGAGGGAGAGUGCAAGGAACUGAACAUGUUUGCUUCUGCAAUUUGCUACUGCUGAUUGGUGCUCCUGCUACUCUACUUAAUUGAGAUCAUAUAGAUGAUGAAAUUUAGACAAUCUGUUGAGGGUAUGAAAGAUAUAUAGAGGAGGAAUCAUUCGGCGGUGGCUGCGUGGUGUUGUUAUUAAUUGGAUGCGGCUACCAACCCGUUUCUGCCGAGUACCAAUAGCUGUAAUCGUGUUAAUUAGCCAUUGGGCGCUACUGUUUUGUUAGGGGUAGGUGAUUGGGUGGUCUAAUGGGGCAAUUUUUUUCUGUUCUACCAGGACUGUAAUUUUUUUUUUAUCGAUGUAUUCAAUAUACUUGGUUGUCAAUUUCGGUAUACUUGGU